rnacentral:rRNA from 1 species
UGGGGAAUCUUGGACAAUGGGGGCAACCCUGAUCCAGCCAUGCCGCGUGAGUGAUGAAGGCCUUAGGGUCGUAAAGCUCUUUCGCCUGUGAAGAUAAUGACGGUAGCAGGUAAAGAAACCCCGGCUAACUCCGUGCCAGCAGCCGCGGUAAUACGGAGGGGGUUAGCGUUGUUCGGAAUUACUGGGCGUAAAGCGCACGUAGGCGGACCAGAAAGUUGGGGGUGAAAUCCCGGGGGCUCAACCCCGGAACUGCCUCCAAAACUAUUGGUCUAGAGUUCGAGAGAGGUGAGUGGAAAUUCCAAGUGUAGAGGUGAAAUUCGUAGAUAUUUGGAGGAACACCAGUGGCGAAGGCGGCUCACUGGCUCGAUACUGACGCUGAGGUGCGAAAAGUGUGGGGAGCAAAACAGGAUUAGAUACCCUGGUAGUCCACACGUAAAACGAUGAAUGCCAGUCGUCGGGUAGCAUGCUAUUCGGUGA